UACGAGGGGGGCGAGCGUUGUUCGGAAUUAUUGGGCGUAAAGGGCGCGUAGGCGGCCUGUUAAGUCGGACGUGAAAUCCCCGGGCUCAACCCGGGAACUGCGUCCGAUACUGGCAGGCUUGAAUCCGGGAGAGGGAUGUGGAAUUCCAGGUGUAGCGGUGAAAUGCGUAGAUAUCUGGAGGAACACCGGUGGCGAAGGCGGCAUCCUGGACCGGCAUUGACGCUGAGGCGCGAAAGCCAGGGGAGCAAACGGG
rnacentral:rRNA from 1 species